GUGGGGAAUAUUGGACAAUGGACGAAAGUCUGAUCCAGCGACGCCGCGUGGAGGAAGAAGUCCUUCGGGAUGUAAACUCAUGAAGCUAACGAAUAAGACGGAAGGGGAACCUUCCGGGAGAAGGUAAUUAGUGAAAAGCCCCGGCUAACUACGUGCCAGCAGCCGCGGUAAUACGUAGGGGGCGAGCGUUGCCCGGAAUUACUGGGCGUAAAGGGAACGUAGGUGGCUCUUAAAGUCAGGUGUGAAAAUAACGAAGCUUAACAGGUUAAUGCGCUUGAAACUAAAGGGCUUGAGGGCAAUAGAGGGAGAUGGAAUUACCUGUGUAGGGGUGAAAUCCGCAGAUAUAGGUAAGAAGGCCGGUGGGGAAGCCGAUCUCCUGGGUUGACUCUGACACUGAGGUUCGAAAGCUAGGGGAGCAAACCGGAUUAGAUACCCGGGUAGUCC
rnacentral:rRNA from 1 species